AAGAUUGUUCAUGGAUUGAUGAUUACACUGAAAAGUUAUCAAAUUGUGAUUGAUUCAAGGAACAUAUCAUAAGUGUUCUUCAAUUAGCUUGAGUUCUAAAUCUUCCUGUCCAUUCAAAAUCAAACCCCUCCCCUGCUUCACCAUCUCUCACAUGCCAUACAUGAGUAGAACUCUCUUCCUUUUCUUCUGUAUUUAUUCCAAAUCUUUGCCUAUGGCCAGGAUUUUAAUUUCUUUGCUAAAUCCAAAAAUGGGAAUUUUUAAGAAUUGCCAUACUACACUUUCAUUUUAGUUUUACUGAUGGUGUUGAAGUUUCUUUUCUGCGGACACAAAGUACAUUCCUAAAACUGUCCUUUUGGCCUAGUCUGAUUCAGAAGCUGCAUUUUUUUGUUAUAU
rnacentral:misc_RNA from 1 species